AGCGAACGCUGGCGGCGUGCCUAACACAUGCAAGUCGAACGUGAAAGGGAGCAAUCCCCCGUAAAGUGGCGUACGGGUGAGUAACACGUAGGUAAUCUACCCCAGAAUCUGGAAUAACCGGCCGAAAGGCUGGCUAAUACUGGAUAGAGCGACGGAAUCCGUAAUUGGGUUUUUCGGGCAAGGGAGCCUGUAAAAAGGCCUUCGUUCUGGGAUGAGCCUGCGUCCCAUCAGCUAGUUGGUGAGGUAAAAGCUUACGAAGUCUAAGACGGGUAGCUGGUCUGAAACGACGAUCCGCCAUACUGGCACGGGAACUCGGUCCAGUGUGCUACGGGGUGCAACAGUAGGGAAUCUUGCGCAAUCGACGCAAGUCUUACGCGGCAAGGCCGCGUGGGUGAAGAAGACCGUCGGGUUGUAAAGCUCGGUCGAGUGGGACGAAAAAGCGUGGAGUUCACAGGUACAGGAACUGACGGUACCGGUAAAAGAAGCACCGGCUAACUCCGUG
rnacentral:rRNA from 1 species